rnacentral:rRNA from 1 species
GACGUAGGGCGCGAGCGUUUGUCCGGAUUUAUUGGGCGUAAAGAGCUCGUAGGCGGCUCAUUGCGUCAACCGUGAAAACCAGCAGCUCAACUGUUGGCUUGCGGUUGAUACGGGUGGGCUGGAGUUCGGUAGGGGAGACUGGAAUUCCUGGUGUAGCGGUGAAAUGACGCAGAUAUCAGGAGGAACACCGGUGGGCGAAGGCGGGUCUCUGGGCCGAUACUG